UGAGGGAAAGGCGAAAAGAACCCCGGCGAGGGGAGUGAAAAAGAACCUGAAACCGUGUACGUACAAGCAGUGGGAGCACAGGUUUACCUGUGUGACUGCGUACCUUUUGUAUAAUGGGUCAGCGACUUAUAUUCUGUAGCAAGGUUAACCGAAUAGGGGAGCCGGAGGGAAACCGAGUCUUAACCGGGCGUUAAGUUGCAGGGUAUAGACCCGAAACCCGGUGAUCUAGCCAUGGGCAGGUUGAAGGUUGGGUAACACUAAC
rnacentral:rRNA from 2 species